CAUGGUGCACUCUGACUGUUGCCAAUGUUUGGAUAUUGAUAUGAGUAAAAGUGACUUCAACAACCAGAAUGUGUUUUUGAUAAAUAAUAAUAAUAACAGUAACUAAAGGAAUGUUAUCAAUUUAUUAUAUGAAUCAUAAACAUGUGCUUAUCUAUUACAAGUACCUUUGAUGGUGAAAACUACAUUUUUUGUCUGAAGAGAGUUAUGAGAAACUGUAAGAGUUUUAUAACAUAUUAAAAUUAAUGUAAGUGUUACCAAUAAAAUUUAAAACUAACAGUUAAACUUAAUUUUUUACAGUUCAUAUUGAAACGAGAUAUUGUGUAAAGAGGUUUUCAAAGAAGUCGUUUUAACAACAAUGGAAAAGCUUCCGAUUCCCGAGAUAAACGUGAAAGCAUUUGAUACAUGAUUAAAGAAUCGUUCAAAAGUUUG